UACGAAGGGGGCGAGCGUUGUUCGGAAUUACUGGGCGUAAAGGGCGCGUAGGCGGCCAGCACAAUUCAGUUGUGAAAUCUCCGAGCUUAACUCGGAAAGGUCAACUGAUACUGUGCGGCUAGAGUGCGGAAGGGGCAACUGGAAUUCCUGGUGUAGCGGUGAAAUGCGCAGAUAUCAGGAAGAACACCUAUGGCGAAGGCAGCUCUCUGGGACGGUACUGACGCUGAGACGCGAAAGCGUGGGGAGCAAACGGG
rnacentral:rRNA from 1 species